rnacentral:rRNA from 1 species
UACGAAGGGGGCUAGCGUUGCUCGGAAUCACUGGGCGUAAAGCGCACGUAGGCGGGUCUUUAAGUCAGGGGUGAAAGCCCAGAGCUCAACUCUGGAACUGCCUUUGAAACUAGAGGACUUGGGUACGGGAGAGGUGAGUGGAAUUCCGAGUGUAGAGGUGAAAUUCGUAGAUAUUCGGAAGAACACCAGUGGCGAAGGCGGCUCACUGGCCCGGUACUGACGCUGAGGUGCGAAAGCGUGGGGAGCAAACAGG